rnacentral:rRNA from 1 species
UACGUAGGGUGCAAGCGUUGUCCGGAAUUAUUGGGCGUAAAGAGCUCGUAGGCGGUCUGUCGCGUCUGCUGUGAAAACCCGAGGCUCAACCUCGGGCCUGCAGUGGGUACGGGCAGACUAGAGUGCGGUAGGGGAGAAUGGAACUCCUGGUGUAGCGGUGGAAUGCGCAGAUAUCAGGAAGAACACCGAUGGCGAAGGCAGUUCUCUGGGCCGUAACUGACGCUGGAGGAGCGAA